rnacentral:lncRNA from 1 species
UGAGAGGUGGACUACAAAGGACCAACGUAGCUGUCACCUACGCGGCCUACCACACGAUCCAGCUAGAUAGGGGAUAUCCACAAGUAAUCUAGGUCUAAGCACCACGCUUACACCUAUACUACAACUCUCAGCUAUAGCGUCCUAUAGAUUAAAGUACUCAAAAGAGUUGUGAACCAAAACAUACAUAAUUAGUAAUUGCAUAAUGAAUUAGAAGUAGAUUACCAGAGUAAUCCCAUGAGCGAGCUUGAUUACAGCUUGAUCAUGACGAAGUACAACCGGAGGAAGAACCGACAGGCCGGCCUCUCCUCUAAUCCUCCUUCGCUCUCCAUCUUGCUACUAUCUAGAUCUACUCUAGUUUAGAGAAGAGAGGAGAGCUCUCAUCUCUAAACCCUAGCUUUUGCUCUGUCUAUGAAUAAUGAAUAAUGAUCAAGGGGUGCCUCCUCCAGGGGCCAGGGGGUCUGGUUAUAUAGUCCCCUCAGGUGAACCUGGGCCGUCCGAUCAAACCGACAUUGAUUGAACGGUUAUUCUUGAUCCUUUAGGUCGGUGGAGAUCUCCUGAGAGAAAGAGUCCUGAUUGGGCUCCAAGUCAGGGUGGGCGCCCAGGGCAGGAGGGCGGGCGCCCUGCCUCUGGCCCCGUUCGGCCUCCGCUUCCUUCCCGUGGCUUCUGGAGUCUUCUAGAUGUAAGAUAAUUGCGCGGCACAUUAAUAUCUCUAUGUAAUCCUAACGUGUGGGCCUUUCUUCCGUAUUUCCUGAUAACCCCCUAUAGAAAUAGACAAACACCAAAACUCGUGGAAUUCUGUCAGAUAAAACCCUAAGUCUAGAUGUUGAUUUCAUUUAGAUCAUUUUCUUUGUUUAUUUGCUAAUUAAAUUUGAUACUUAAGGACCGUCAACAAACUCCCCCAAGCUUACCUCUUGCUCGUCCCUGAGCAAGGAUAGACUCAUCAAUGGAUCAGAAGUUGUUGCAAUAUCUUAAAAAUUUGACGGUACACAUGCUUUUAAAUAAGAUCUCAUCUCUGAGUUAGAGUAAACUGUCAAGAACUAAAACUUACUUACUUUACCUUUCACCAUGGGACUUGUAAUCGUCACUUCUGUCUUGAGUAGUUAAAAGAUAGAACAGUCUAGCCAAGUGCCAUGUCUCUUAUUCUUGAUCAGCUGUAGCUUUGGAGUUUUUGCAGAUUUCCAAAUAAAACUCAGAGAUUCCUUGUAUGACUCUCUAAAUCUCUCUUUUGUGGUAUUUCUGGAUCCUUACCAAGGCUGUGAUGGUAUAUGCCUUCUCUCAAGAUAUAUGGUAUUUGUGGUAUAAGGCAUAGCGACAUUGCCUUCUCUCUCACCCUACUCUAAUAAGGCUUUAAUAUCUGGAGCUCAUAGGUGGGAGAUAAAGUAUACAUACUUACAAGACAUUUAUUGUAUAGUCAAACCAUGGAUCCAAAGAAACAAAUCAAUAAGCCAAAUCAAGAUGUGCAUGUGUGGCGAAUGAAUGGUGUAUGGUGAUGAUGGUGAUAACAAUGGUGAAAGUCUAAUUCUACUUUUGCUCUUUUGAGGGGAUACAUACCUUCCUUGCUUUUUGAAACUUUAUGAGGAGAAUGAGAUGCUCUUCUUUUUCUUUCCUCUCAGGUGGGUAUCUUGUACCCCUAAUUCUACUGUCGGACACUUGUCCAUUUUUACCUCUCGUCUCACUUUUUCUUUCUUUCGAGGUUCCGGACACUUGCCCCUUUUUAUUUCCUCGUUUAUUAUUAUUUUUUUCUUUUCUUUUCUUCUCUUUUCUUUUUUUUCUUUUCAGAGCACUCAUCUCUUGAGAUAAUAUAGCAAGUGGUAGUAGCAAGAUAACUUGAGCAUUUAUUUCACAAGGAAAAACAGAAAUAUUUUUGGUUAUUCUCUCCCGGAUUAGGAGUAGAAUAUUUUUGGGUGGUUCUGGAGAUGGAAAUGAGUGGAUAUAUAUGGAUGGUACUUCCGGAGUAGAAGUAGCAUAUAUGAGUGAAUGUGCAAGUGAAAUCUUGAUUUAACCACAUGACAAGCUCCUAAGGGUCUACACAGCUUGACCACACUCAAUGCUCAUAAGCAGUAAAUAGUAAAUGUGUGGCUCAAAGUCUAGCAAGCAUGUAUAUAUAGCUGUGGUAGGAAUUUAAACUUUCAUCAUACAGGAACUCAUCAUGCAAUAUUUUAAAGAUUUUUCAAAGAUAAAAUUCUCCAGAAUUCUAGCAUCUCUAGGAACAGAUAAACAGCAGCUCAACCUUCCCAUAUCAUAUCCGUUAACAACUUAGAUUUCAGAUCAAGUUUUUAUCCCACAAGUUUAGAUCUAGAGCAAGCUUUAAAUUAUAACAGUUAUGUCUAAACUUGAGAGAGAACUUCAAAUGUGCAAAUUAGGCAGAGCAACUAUUCAUCAUAUCCAUGCUAGAGUUUUAUUAUUAAGAUUCAGAUUAGCAUAGCCACUUUUUUUAUUUAUUAAACACACUAAGCAAAAGAUAUAUAUAAGCACAAAAUCUUUAUUUGGUUUUUCAAAGUUUAUGUAUUUUAAUAUUCUAAUAUAAUAUAAGUAUAAAGAGAUGUAGUUAUACUUAGCGAGAUAAAUGGGGGUGCUCUCCCCCAAGCUGAAUUUUGACGUAAUUUUUAUUGAUGUAGCUAGCAGGUGGCAGAGGUGUAUUUGAAAGUCAGCAGCAUUCUGACAGCGAUUAGAAUGUCCUCCGUCUGCUAGUAUUCUUGAUUCUUAAAUUCUGUGGAGCUCAAAUAGAUAACAAAGCUUGUGGAACUAAUUAAGUGUUAGCAUAAAUAUCUAGCCUUCAUCAUGUUGAGCUUCCUCAAUAAAUAUUACUCCCUGUUUUUAUAUUUUUAUUUUAUAAAGCAGAAAAGAAAUAUUUAUUUUAUUUUUAUGCCACCACAGUGAAGGUACUUAUGGGUUUUAUGCCACUCGUAUUCACACAUAGGGCUUAGUAUUUUUUAACAUUUUUAUUUUCUUUUCAAGAUAGCAUGAUUAACUAAUAAUCUAUUUAAGGAAAGUAAAUAAUUAAAGGGAAAAGGAAAUGCAGAAAGGAUAAAUAUGGAUAACUACCGAUCUUACCUUUCGACGAGGGUUCAAUAUUUUAAGUCUUCUUAACAAGACUUCUCACCGUGUUCAUUCUUCAGGUGCGUCAUUUGAUUCAGGUGCGGACCUUGACGUCUGCACCUCUUGAUACGGUGUCACCCAUGUUCUUCAUUUGCCCAGCAGUUCGAAGUGCGGCGUUGGCAGUAACCUGCUCAGAGAGACAAGGCAGAAAUCAAGUGCAUGGGUCCUGUUGGUGGAAAACACCAACAGAACCUAAAGUGUAUUUGUUCUUCUCUAACACUAAGCAUAGUGAGCAAGACAAAGUUGAUGGAUGAAAAGUUCAUGAGUGUAGCACUUAUAACAUUUGUCAGAUCAGAUCGCUCAACCUUAUGAAAAGAUAAUCUAUCUAUGUAUAUGUCUUUUUCUUUAUAUCUCUCAAUGAUUGAAUGUGUAACAUUAUAGCUCAUAUGAUUAGGAGUGUGGGAUCAUGGAGGUAGUAUUAAGAACAAGGAUUAAAGGACUAAACAUGUUGAAUCAGCUGGGUUGGUUAAUCUAGAGUUGUAAAUCAUACAUCUUUGUCUCUUUUAUUUAUAUGAACGCUAGAACCAAGGAGAAGCUUAUAGAAGUGAUAGUCAAGUACCUUAAGGUGUUACCUUACUUGAAGAGUGAUGGUACCAUCUCACCUUGUGGAAGCUUCCCAUUCGUAGUGGUUGUGUAUCUUGUUUAUGUACUUUGUCUUCUUCCAUGGAUCAUCUCUCUAUGAUGAAUGAGCUAUGUCCUUGUGCAAAUUGUUAAACUUCAUGUGUCACUCUCUUUGUCUCUAAUGUGAGUUUAUCUCAGGACUUCCCAAAACGAUAUUGAAAGUUUUUCUACAGGGGUUAGUCCGACAAAAAUAUACCAAUGUCUACACAAGCAGUUUUUAGUUCAAUAACCGAACUAGACUCCAUGUCUAAUCAGAUUAAGGAAGGCUGUUUAACCUAAGCACCAUGCUUAAUUUAGAAGCCAAUAGAAGUAUGUGCAGUACUUCCAAACUAACACUUACUAGUAAAUAGACAAAGGUAACAUGACAGCAUUUAUAGAGAUCUACUCAAGUGGAGAUGAAGUAGUGUGAUUAGUAUUUAACAAAUUGAGCAUGUCUUAAAGGUAGGGACAACCAACAUAGCAACAUGGAAAAGGAUGUUUUUAUGUAAAGUACUCCCCCAAGUUUGAAUUUUGCAGAAUUCAAGUUUGGAUGAAUUUAAUUCAGUGUUGCAUGAUGAUUGGUUGGACAUGCCUUGUACUUGCUUGUCAUUCAUCUGAUCUUCUUGUUCCAAUCCUGGAAAGGUUAGUGACAAGAAUACCCGAAAGAAUAUUUUCACAAUUAUCCUUAUAUGCUCAAUACACAAGGUAAUGUUGUAAAUAAUUAAAACCUCAUGUUACGAUCUGAUCAGUGCUUAUUUUAAGACACUAAGCUUGUCCUUGGGAAACCAUCAAUUUAUGUCGGCGAAGUGGUUUCCCUUCCAACGCUGACCUAUAUCAAGAUCAACUCAAUGAGAUCCACAAUAUUUAUUAUAGACAUAUGCAUCGACAACCGCCCUUUUAAAGUUUUUAUAAAUAGAAAGGAAGAGGGGGUUGGAGAUCUCAAAUGUGGUGAUGUUGGAGAGACCAAUAGAUUGGGAAGAUGUUGCAUAUAAGCAUGGAGUAAACAAAGUGGCUAUGAAAUAAAUUACAUGCUCAUUAAUAUUAUUGCAAGGAUUUGAAUUAUCCCUGCUUGAAGGUCUCUUAUGGAACCAAAAGUCUAAACCAUCAGCAUCUGAAAGAUUUAAGGUCAGAAUUCCUUCCUCCCUUGGAGAAUUUUGGGGUAUUGAUGGUUUAGGAUCGAUAGCUAAAGUUUGGGAUUGAAGUGGUUGUGAUCUAGCUAUCGAAACUUCUUCUUCUUGUCUAGGAACUGGUUCUGUCUCUUUCUCAGGGAUAUAAAAGCUAGGAGACUUUCCGCUCAUUAAAUCAAUCAAAUUCCAAGCUUCACUAGCAGGUAGGUGAUAGAAGGAUCCUCUAGAGGCUGUAUUCAAGGUUUGCUUAUUUUCCCCACUAAGGCCCUCAAAAAAGUGAGUUAGAAGAACUUCUUCUGGAAUAGAAAGCUUUGGGUCAGUGAGAGUAAGGUUAAUAAAGCGGUCCCAUGAUUUGCCAAGAGAUUCUUCUUCCAGUUGUCUAAAAGAAAUAAUCUCACGCCGAAGUUCCGCCACUUUAGAGAUUGGAAAAUAUUUUAAAAGAAAACUAUUAUGUAACUCCUUCCAAUCUCCAUGAACACUCUCUACUUUGAGUUUAUACCAAUGUCUAGCUUUUCCUGUUAAAGAGAACGGAAAGAGCUUCCAUUUAAGGGUCUAAUCAGACAUGCCUUCAAUGCGAAGGAGGUCACAGACUUGAUAAAACUCUCUUAGGUGUGUGUUUGGGUUUUCCUCACCUUCUCCUGAGAAAGGUUGUUUUUGAACAAAUUCUAUGUAUUCGGGGUCUAUCUCAAAACUAGAUGCUAUGAUAGGCUUUGAAGAUUUUGGUGGUUCGAGAUGUGUGCCCGUAGGUCUAUGAAAUUCAUAGAUAGACAUGUUUGAAUUCAUAAUAGACCAGAGAUCAAGGAUUAGAUAAGAAGAAAGAGUAGCAGAGAUAAGGCAAAGGAUAAAAGGAAAAAUAUUUUUUUUUAUUUUUCUUAGAAAAUGAUUAAGCUAGUUCGUAGUCAACUCAGCAACCGUUUCCCAGGCAACGGCGCCAAAAAUGCUUGUUGACACUUGCUAACACCACUUGAAUACUAGGUUGUCAUCCCCAGCAUGGCACUAGAGUUUACUAUGGUAUUUAUACGCACACAGAUAAUCCACAAGUGCACGGAUACCGUUAUAACUUUUACCCGGUUAAAGGUUUUAUCGUAUCCACAGGGAAACGGGAGAACUGAUCUACGCUCUAACUUAACCAAGAUAAGUAAAUAGGUGUAAAUAGGAAAGAUGGUAGAAUCGAAUAAGAACAAUAUUAAAGGUAAGAUAACUGUGAGUGAUAAUAUGGGAAUAGAGAAUAGAGAAAUCUAGUAUAUGGGCGAUGGUAGCAGAAUAGAGAGGAUAACUAUGGUUUCUCUACUUCAAAGGGGUAUGUCUAUGUCUGGGACGAACCACGUGAUAAGAGUACACCACAAAGGAUGCUUAUCCUUAGGCCGAUAAACCCUACCCGUCCUGCUAACGAGAGGUGGACUACAAGGGACCAACGUAACUGUCACCUACGCGGCCUACCACACGAUCCAGCUAGAUAGGGGAUAUCCACAAGUAAUCUAGGUCUAAGCACCACGCUUGCACCUAUAUUACAACUCUCACCUAUAGCGUCCUAUAGAUUAAAGUACUCAAAAGAGUUGUGAACCAGAACAUACAUAAUUAGUAAUUGCAUAAUGAAUUAGAAGU